UACGGAGGGUGCAAGCGUUAUCCGGAUUCACUGGGUUUAAAGGGUGCGUAGGUGGGCAGGUAAGUCAGUGGUGAAAUCUCCGGGCUUAACUCGGAAACUGCCAUUGAUACUAUCUGUCUUGAAUACCGUGGAGGUUAGCGGAAUAUGUCAUGUAGCGGUGAAAUGCUUAGAUAUGACAUAGAACACCGAUAGCGAAGGCAGCUUGCUACACGAGUAUUGACACUGAGGCACGAAAGCGUGGGGAUCAAACAGG
rnacentral:rRNA from 1 species